UGGUGGGUUGCCUUGUCAGGUUGAUUCCGGUAACGAACGAGACCUCAGCCUGCUAAAUAGUCACGUCCGGUUUUCCGGUCGGCCGACUUCUUAGAGGGACUAUCUGCGUCUAGCAGAUGGAAGCAUGAGGCAAUAACA
rnacentral:rRNA from 1 species